CUCAGGGAUUGGGGGGACAGACGGGGGCCCCUGGGCCUGCCCCACCCAUGCCACCCUGGUAAUUCAGCCUGCAACAAAUGAUUAGCCUCUUUGUAUAGACCAAUGUUCUCUCUGGGGCAUGUCAGUUCAAUAAAACCCUGUCCAUUUGAGCCUCACUGUGACCUCUAGGAUGCUGGCCAAAGGGCAGGCACAGAUGGGGGCAGGUGACAGCGGUGUUGAAUCUGCUGCAGUGGUUCUUUCUUUUGAAGUUAGUUUCAAGUUGGUCUCUAGAAUGCAAGCUUGUCCAAUGCGUGGCCCAAGAGCAGCCUGCGGCCCAACACAAAUUCAUAGGCUUUCUUAAAACACUGAGGUAUUUCUGCGAUUUUUUUUUUAGCUCACCUGGCUAUCGGUAGUGUUAGUGUAUUUUAUAUAUGAUCCAAGACAAUUGUUCAACUUCAAAAGACUGGACACCCCUGCAAUAUAUCGGCAGGCCCCUCUAAGCGUGGGUGGAGCCCCCAGCAGUGUCCAUAUGAUACGUCCAGAGAAACUUCACACGCGGAUGUGUGCAGGACUGUGCGUGCUGCUGAAGCAGAGGCUUGAGGGGUCUGCCCAGCGUCCUGAGAACCCGAGAGAGCAGGGCCCGCAGGGACAGGUCCAAGUUACUGCUAUGUCUGGCUGGGCACCUCCUCCUGCCUCCAUUCACCCUAGGCCUCAUUCCCACCUCCCACAGCCUGAACUCAUGCCCUCUCUUUGGACUGCUCAGCUUGUAGCUUCCACUCUGCAUUAGGUAUGUGGACAUUGACUAUUACUGGCGGGCCUAGCCACAGAGCCUAGGCCAAGGAUUUACUAGUUUGGUCCUUGUCUAACUCACACUAACCACCUCUCCUGUUUGUUGUUGUUUUGAGUUUGUUUGUUUUUGAGGCAGGGUCUCCAUCUGUUGCUCAGGAUAGAGUGCAGUGGUGUGAUCAAAACUCACUGCAGCCUCUACCUUCUGGGCUCAAGUGAGCCGCCCGCCUCUGCCUCCGCCUCCCAAAGCGAAGGGAUUCCAGGCGUGAGCCGCUGCUC
rnacentral:lncRNA from 13 species